UACGUAGGGGGCAAGCGUUGUCCGGAAUUAUUGGGCGUAAAGAGCGCGUAGGCGGUCCGAUAAGUCGGCUGUGAAAGUCCAGGGCUCAACCCUGGAAAGCCGGCCGAUACUGUCGGACUAGAGUCCGGAAGAGGCAAGUGGAAUUCCCGGUGUAGCGGUGAAAUGCGCAGAUAUCGGGAGGAACACCAAUUGCGAAGGCAGCUCGCUGGGACGUUACUGACGCUGAGACGCGAAAGCGUCGGGGAGCAAACAGGG
rnacentral:rRNA from 1 species